AGUCCUAAUAUAGUACGUCUAAUAAAGUGAUAUAAAGUCCUAAUAUAGUAUGUCUAAUAGAGUAAUAUAAAGUCCUAGUAUAGUAUGUCUAAUAGAGUAAUAUAAAGUCCUAGUAUAGUAUGUCUAAUAGAGUAAUAUAAAGUUUAGUUUGUAAAAGGCUCCAGUAUGAUGUGGUGGUCUGUGUUCUCCUGUAUGAUGAGGUGGUCUGUGGUCUCCAGUAUGAUGAGGUGGUCUGUGGUGGUCUGUGGUCUCCAGUAUGAUGAGGUGGUCUGUGGUAUCCAGUGUGAUGAGGUGGUCUGUGGUGGUCUGUGGUCUCCAGUAUGAUGAGGUGGUCUGUGGUCUCCAGUGUGAUGAGGUGGUCUGUGGUCUCCAGUGUGAUGAGGUGGUCUGUGGUGGUCUGUGGUCUCCAGUAUGAUGAGGUGGUCUGUGGUCUCCAGUAUGAUGAGGUGGUCUGUGGUGGUCUGUGGUCUCCAGUAUGAUGAGGUGGUCUGUGGUCUCCAGUGUGAUGAGGUGGUCUGUGGUCUCCAGUGUGAUGAGGUGGUCUGUGGUCUCCAGUGUGAUGAGGUGGUCUGUGGUCUCCAGUGUGAUGAGGUGGUCUGUGGUCUCCAGUAUGAUGAGGUGGUCUGUGGUCUCCAGUGUGAUGAGGUGGUCUGUGGUGGUCUGUAGUCUCCAGUGUGAUGAGGUGGUCUGUGGUCUACAGUGUGAUGAGGUGGUCUGUGGUGGUCUGUGGUCUCCAGUAUGAUGAGGUGGUCUGUGGUCUCCAGUAUGAUGAGGUGGUCUGUGGUUGUCUGUGGUCUCCAGUAUGAUGAGGUGGUCUGUGGUGGUCUGUGGUCUCCAGUGUGAUGAGUUGGUCUAUGGUGGUCUGUGGUCUCCAGUGUGAUGAGGUGGUCUGUGGUGGUCUGUGGUCUCCAGUAUGAUGAGGUGGUCUGUGGUGGUCUGUGGUCUCCAGUAUGAUGAGGUGGUCUGUGGUGGUCUGUGGUCUCCAGUGUGAUGAGGUGGUCUGUGGUGGUCUGUGGUCUCCAGUGUGAUGAGGUGGUCUGUGGUGGUCUGUGGUCUCCAGUAUGAUGAGGUGGUCUGUGGUCUCCAGUGUGAUGAGGUGGUCUGUGGUCUCCAGUAUGAUGAGGUGGUCUGUGGUUGUCUGUGGUCUCCAGUAUGAUGAGGUGGUCUGUGGUGGUCUGUGGUCUCCAGUGUGAUGAGUUGGUCUAUGGUGGUCUGUGGUCUCCAGUGUGAUGAGGUGGUCUGUGGUGGUCUGUGGUCUCCAGUAUGAUGAGGUGGUCUGUGGUCUCCAGUGUGAUGAGGUGGUCUGUGGUCUCCAGUAUGAUGAGGUGGUCUGUGGUGGUCUGUGGUCUCCAGUAUGAUGAGGUGGUCUGUGGUGGUCUGUGGUCUCCAGUGUGAUGAGGUGGUCUGUGGUGGUCUGUGG